rnacentral:lncRNA from 1 species
AAACAAUAUAAGGUCUGGGAUUGAUCCAGAGUCCCACCCCCCACCGUGGGCACAGUGGCAGGGGGAGUCCCACGGGCACUGCUGGGGGUCGCUGCAGCUGGGAGUGGCCCACGGGGGCGCUCAUUUUACUGUUCUUUCCUCUUUCGUAUACGUUUGAAACGUCCCAUAAGCGAAAGCAUUAAGCUGGAUUAUACAGCGAAUACACGCACACACAAACACAGUCUCCUGGUGUGUACGGACUGCCGUGUCUACGACGUGACCUACAGCAGAAUGCAUCUUAGGGAGGCUCGCUGCGGUUGCAGAGAAGGAACUCAUCCUGGUCCGAACUGUUCAGGUCACUGUUGACUCUGCCCCCGGCUCCAACGGCACA